AUUGCUCCGCUGAACACCCAAAGUGUGCUCCUGGUGGUAGAACGGGUAAAUUCUAAUGCUCUGUUGUGCCCCUUUAGUGGUACAGAAGGGAAACUUUUGAGUUACCUGUCGUGCUCCUUUUAAGUUAUGAACACAUUGGAGGGACUACUAAAAUGAAAUAAGUACUUGAAAUAUUUGUUUUAAAUGUAUAAUGUUAAGUAUUUAAAGAAUAAAGAACAUUUUAUUGAACCAAAACUUUCUUCCUUCUAAGUUAAAAAAAAUAUAUAUUUUGCUACUUAUAAUACUAUGCAAAUUAGUAGUUCUAUCUAAGUAGAUUUUAUUGUAGAGAUACUAUAACUUAUUUGAAGUACUCUUCAGAGUCAAGUGCAAAUAAAAUAGUCAUCAUGUGUUCCAUCCUUUGUAGGGGUAAAGUGGAACCAUAAAUAUAACGACAUAAGAUGUGCUCCACCAAACCACCAAAGGAGCACUACGGAUCAUACAAAAUUUACUCGUUCUACCACCAGGAGCACACUUUGGGUGUUCAGCGAAGCAGUCGUCAUUUUGUUA